rnacentral:rRNA from 1 species
CCUACGGGAGGCAGCAGUGAGGAAUAUUGGUCAAUGGACGAGAGUCUGAACCAGCCAAGUAGCGUGAAGGAUGACUGCCCUAUGGGUUGUAAACUUCUUUUAUAUGGGAAUAAAACGUUCCACGUGUGGGAUUUUGUAUGUACCAUAUGAAUAAGGAUCGGCUAACUCCGUGCCAGCAGCCGCGGUAAUACGGAGGAUCCGAGCGUUAUCCGGAUUUAUUGGGUUUAAAGGGAGCGUAGGUGGAUUGUUAAGUCAGUUGUGAAAGUUUGCGGCUCAAUCGUAAAAUUGCAGUUGAAACUGGCAGUCUUGAGUACAGUAGAGGUGGGCGGAAUUCGUGGUGUAGCGGUGAAAUGCUUAGAUAUCACGAAGAACUCCGAUUGCGAAGGCAGUUCACUGGACUGCAACUGACACUGAGGCUCGAAAGUGUGGGUAUCAAACAGGAUUAGAUACCCUUGUAGUC